AUACAGAGGGUGCAAGCGUUAAUCGGAAUUACUGGGCGUAAAGCGCGCGUAGGCGGUUUGGUCAGUCGGAUGUGAAAGCCCCAGGCUCAACCUGGGAAUGGCAUUCGAUACUGCCUGACUAGAGUAUGGUAGAGGGAAGUGGAAUUUCCGGUGUAGCGGUGAAAUGCGUAGAUAUCGGAAGGAACACCAGUGGCGAAGGCGACUUCCUGGGCCAAUACUGACGCUAAGGUGCGAAAGCGUGGGGAGCAAACAGGAUUAGAUACCCUGGUAGUCC
rnacentral:rRNA from 1 species